rnacentral:misc_RNA from 1 species
AACGCACCUUGCGCUCCUUGGUAUUCCUUGGAGCAUGCCUGUUUGAGUAUCAUGAAAUUCUCAAAGUCAAUCCUUUUUGUUAAUUCAAUUGGUAUUGCUUUGGACUUGGAGGUCUUUGCAGAUGUCACAGUCUGCUCCUCUUAAAUUUAUUAGCUGGAUCUCAGUAUAACACUUGGUUCCACUCGGCGUGAUAAGUAUCAUUCGCUGAGGACACUGUAAAAGGUGGCCAGGAAAUUUACAGAUGAACCGCUUCUAAUAGUCCAUUUACUUGGACAAUUUACUUUAUGAUCUGAUCUCAAAUCAGGUAGGACUACCCGCUGAACUUAA